rnacentral:lncRNA from 1 species
CAAAAGAGUAACUUUCCAUUUAUCAUAUCAAUUACAUAAAAAAUAAGACAAAACAGAACAAUCCUCUUCUACCUCUCACCCCCACCUCAAACCCUCAGCCACCGAUGCCAUUGAACAACCUGCAGCGCCAGCCCUUGAAUACUACCUACUCCCACACUAUUCAUCGUCGUACUCAUAAAAUUCCCAUCCCUUCUUUCCCGCCACCUUCAUUACUACUAUUUCCCCAAAAAACUUUCGCAUAUAUAUAAUCGGCAUUCCUGGAAUGGAAUUGGAAAUUCGGGUUCAGAUGCUACUGAUUACUACCGUAAUUAUAAUAAGAGCUAGGUGGGAUCUUGCGCUUCUUGAAGGACGUGGGACUUGGUCAGAUUUGAGACUCUUCUCCAUAAAGAUCGUAGAUCUGACGCUUCUGUGGGUCACUGAACAUCAUACGCUUCAGAAAUUUGAUUGAAUUUGACUUCAGCUUUAAUCUUGUUCACAUUCUUGUUCGGAUGCCAAAUCAUGGCCAAACGCCUGUAGGCCCUCUUGGCGUUCUGAUUUACCAUCAAUGUUUUGUAAUAAUCCGUUCCCUUUACUCGGUUUCUUGAUCAAAAUUUGUUUACCUUUUCUUUUGAAGUAUGCUUUUAUGCUUGUAUAAAUGAGUAUUAUCACUAAAUAUUUAUGUAUGUGAAGCGAUGACGAAGAAAUGGAAUGUAGUAGAGGUUGUUCGGUGGCGAUUGUGAUGGGUUGGACGGUGGCGGCCGGUGGUUAGUGGAGGUCGGGUGGCCGACGGUUUGAGGUGGGCGUAGUGGGUGAGAGGAAGAAGGGGAUUGUCCUGUUUUGUCAAUUUUUUUAUUUUUUAAUUUACGAAAUGUAAUUAUUUAAAGAGCUUUGCUACGUGUACACACACUCUCCUCACAUGAGAUAAAAGUUCUACGAUUUUUUUUUAUUAUUGUGAGACCCCUUUCAUGUGAGUGGAGUGUACAUCGGAGUGUCAAAUUCGGUGUACAAAUAGUAUUUUUCUUAUUUAAAUGUGAUAAAUAAAAAAUUACCCUUUUGUCCC